UACGUAGGGCGCAAGCGUUGUCCGGAAUUAUUGGGCGUAAAGAGCUCGUAGGCGGCUUGUCGCGUCGGGAGUGAAAGCUUGGGGCUCAACCCCAAGUCUGCUUCCGAUACGGGCAGGCUAGAGGCAGGUAGGGGAGAACGGAAUUCCCGGUGUAGCGGUGAAAUGCGUAGAGAUCUGGAGGAAUACCAGAGGCGAAGGCGGCUUGCUGGGGUGGAAUUGACGCUCAGACACGAAAGCAUGGGGAGCGAACGGG
rnacentral:rRNA from 1 species